CUUUGCACGCUAAAAUGGCCACGCAACCGUAUGGAAAUGGUGGGGGUAGGGCGAGUGGCUGUACAGUGGAGAAACCCAGCAAACUACCUUAGCCAGGUGAUCAAGGUCAACAUCAAGAGAGAGAAAUCAGCGGUGAGAGUAGGUGCCGAUUGUGGUCUUCCUCCCAACAAUACAUAUUCCCAGUCUAUGGGGAAAACACCAGCCAAACCCUGGUUGAGGGAUGUUCUACAAACUACUUGGCCAAUACUCCUCUAAAUUGUCAAGGUCAUCAAAACCAAGGAAAGUCUGCAAACACGUUGUUACAGCCAAGAAAGCCUACGGAGAUAGGAAAAUAAUGUAGUGUGGUAUCCUGGAUGGGAUCCUGGUAAAAGGACAUUAGGUAAGAACUAAGGAAAUCUGAAUAAAGUAUGGACGUCAGUUAAUAAGGCAUCAGUAUUGGCUCAUUCAUUGUAGCAAAAGCACCAUACUAAUAGAACAUGCUAAUAAUAGAAGAAACCAAGUAUUAACUUCUCAUUUUUUUCUGUAAAUAGAAAACUAUUUUUUUUUAAUGUUCAUUUUUGAGACAGAGCACUAGCAGGGGACAGACAGAGAGAAAGAGGGAGACUCAGAAUCCGAAGCAUGCUUGGGGGUUGGGGGAGAGCUCGAGCUCACCAACUGUGAGAACAUGACCUGAGCCCACGUCAGACGUUUAACCGAUUGGGCCACCCAGGUGCCCCAAUAUAAAAACUAUUCUUAAAAAGAAUAGUUAAAAUUCUUUAAAAAAAUUUUUUUUAAGUUUAUUUUUGAAAAAAAUGUUACACAGGUAAUAAAUGAACAAAUGGUAAUUUAAAAGCAGUUUUUAGAAACUGAAAUUCUUUACUUUCCCAAGACUUUUAGGCGUGCCCUUCCAGAUCCUUCUCUCUGCAACACUCUACUUCUACUCUAGGUGAAUAUAUUCACCUAGAUGUACUGUUUAAAAUGAUAAUUGCAGUAAUUUUUUUUUCAAUGUGUUUUACUCAUUGCAUCUUGCAGGGUCUUUCCCCGCAAGCGUACCUUGAUCUACUUGAUUCUUCCUAAGGAUUGCAUGGUGCGCGCCAUCGUGCGUGUCACCUAGCUCCUUAGGGAAGGACAUUUAGGUUGCUGCAGGUUUGGGGCUAUUGCAAACAGCGCUGCUGGUCUUGUUUCCAUUUUUUCAGAGCGCACGGAGUGGGAGAGACUGGGCGCAGUAGGCCAAAGGGGAGACUCUGGCCUCGGCUCUGCAGGGGGCAGGGGUGCGGGUGCCUUGCGGCAGCCGCUCCCUCCGGCAGCCUGCUGCCCCCAGACUCCGAACCCCGGGACCCAGUCAUUUUCCACGGCCUCUGCAACACCCCUCCCUGCAAGGCGCGGCCCGUUUUCGGAGCUGGACUGCAUUUUUUAGAGAUGAGUGGCCGGGUGAGCCUGAAACCCUGGCCAAAGGCUCCAGUGCGACACGGAGGAAAUGCCCCGCCCCCACCCUCAGCAGAAGAGAGGCUGAGAAAAUCUUCAAAAUGAUCUAUGAAAACCUGUAAUCACUGCUUCAUCGCUGAAAGGAGCUGCUAACAAGCAUCAAACGAGAAAAUGGUUUCUAUGGAUGUGGCUCUGAUUCAGCCAGCAGAACCAGAGAUGGCUCAAUAACAAACAUGUCCUGUAACACCUGUUUUCAGAAAUAUGCAGAAACAAGAUUUGACAUCUUCAGAACCAGAAACUAGUCUAUGGAAAACUCUUCCAACCAUUAAGCAGGAGCAGCAACAAGGACACUCCAUGCCUGAGGUGGGGGAGGCCUGGGACAAGAAGGAGCUAACGGGCUGUUGAUUGGCAGGUGAGAUAAGCACCCCCUUGGGAGCAGCUAGAUGAGUGGACUCCUCAACAUCUCCUUAAAUCCAACCUUGGAGACAAGAUGGCCGUGACAGGAGUAUCUGUCUCUAAGUAUGAAGGAGUGAAGAUAGGACGAGGCCCAGAUGGAUGGCAAAGCCAAGGAAGAAAGGGUAGCAGCUAAGCUCCAAAGACCAAGUAUGAGAGCAUCCACCCAAGGAUCCAUCCUGCCCAUCCUGCACAUUCUGAAUGUGUGGUGCACACAUUUGCAAAGUGGCUUUCACCCCUUCAUCACACUGAGGAAGGCUUCCCAAGGAAGGACAACCUCGGAAGGGGUCCACCUCUCCAAACUGUGGAUCAGGCCUUAUUGGAGAAAGAUUCGUGGCAGCCCCUUGGACGGCAGAGAAAUUUCCCGGUGCAUUGGCCACAACUGCUCUUUGGUUGCCAGAUAAGGAUGAAGCAAUCUGUGGGAGCACAGAUCUCCUGUCUGUAUAUAUGAGCUGAAAAAUGCCUUCAGGGAAGGUUUUGCCUUUGAGAACGGAUGUGGUAAAAUGAACGUGGUGUGCUAGAGUAGGAAUCAGAAAAUUUGACCUUGCUGUAUGAGUUUGAGCCCAUUGGCUUGCCUCUCUGAGCCUCAGUUUCCCCGAGUGAAAAUGGGAACCUUGAGUAAGCUGCCUUCCCCGCCCACUGUAUCGCAGCAUUUCAUAAGGCUCCGUAGAGAGUAAAAGCGUUCGUGUUGUGGUUGCAUACCCCUUGUGCUCUCCUUCUGUGGCUAAAACUGGAGCUUCUGCAGAUAUAUGUUGAUUUCAGCAAAGGAGUAGGCAGAAGAGAGCCUCAAAUGGGAGCAAUAGGCACUCUGGACGCCCUGACGGCAGAGUCUGGAGAACGGAAAAGCCAACUUUUCUCUCCUUGUGCUUGCAAUUGGGGAAGAGUGAGGAGCCGGGAAAGGUAAAUGCUGUCAUCUGCUGGUCAUUUCCUGUGUAGCAGCAUCAAAUUAAUAGUUUUGCAAAGCUCUCAUUGAAAGUUAGCUAAGGACCUGGAGGGAGGAGGAGGCAUUUGCUGAGCACCUACUGGUUAUAAGGGACUAUCUUCAAGGAUGCUAUGAACAGAGAUAUGACCCAGCCCUGGAUGCUGCCAAUAAGGAGGACACGGACCCCAGGGAGCCAGGGCCGCCUCCAUGUGCCUGUGUGCCUCAAGCACACCCUUUGACCUCUCUGAGCUUCAGGUUUCUCAGCAGGUGCGUGGACUAGGAUGGUCUCUAAGGAUCUUGAAAGAUGAAGAGAAUAUUACAGAUGGGCACUGGGAAGGAAAGGAGGAGGGCAUCAAGAGAAGCCCUUGGAAAGUCUGACAGAUGUCCUCUUCCCUUGUGCCCAUGUUUGUGACAGCGUGGGCUAGGCUCCAGAUCGCUAAGCACCUGCCCUCCUCUGACUUCUGUUCAGGGGAAGGGACAGUGGAGUCGGAAAGACUUCUUGAAGGAAGACUGGAACCAACGCCUGCGUUGUCCCCACCAGUUUUAAGAAAUGGAACCAUAUGGUUGCCUCUGAAGUCAUCCAUUAUAUGAAUAUAUUAUCAUUUCUUUAUACAUUCUGCUGUGGAUGGCAUUUGAAUUGUUUCCUAUUGUUCCCAGGCUUUUACUGCUUUGGACAUCCUGUCUUAUUAAUCUGUAGGAGUUUAAAAAUAUAUUUGAGAUACAACUCUUUUAUCAUCUAUGUAUAUUGGAAGAUGUUUAUCCCACUCUGUAGCUUGCCUUUCCACCUUCUUACAAAUGUCUUUUGCAGGAGAGAAGUUAUUAAUGGUAAUGCAGUUGUAGCAGGCAGACUUCUAAGAUGACCGCCAUGCCCAUCACCCUGGUAUAAUGUCCCCCCACUGGAGUUAUGGAAUAUGAUAGGUAUCAUUGGGGAUCAUGUUCUAGUCUGUGGCAAAAGGAAUUUUGCAGAUAUGGCUGUGAUUACUACUCAGCUGAGUAUGAGUUAGCCAAGUGGGAUGUUAUCCAGUUGGGCCUGACCAAGUCACAUGGUCCCUUCAAGCCUGAGUCUAGAGAUCAGAAAUGGAGAAGGUCAGAGAUUCGAAGCAUGAGAGAUUUGAUGUACCAUUGCUGGCUUUGAAGAUGGAGGGGCUCCAUGGCAAUGCAGGUGGUCUCCAGGAAACUAAUAGAUCUUGAUGGACAGCCACCGAGGACCCAAGGACCUCAGUCUUACAACCUCAAGGAGCUAAGUCUGCCACAACUCCAUGAGCUCGGAAGAGGACCCAGAGUGCCAGAGGACCCAGAGACCACAGCCCAGUCCAUUCCUUGCUUUCGGCCUGUGAAACCCUGAGCAGGGAACCCAGCCAUGCUGUGCGUGGGUUUCUGGGCAACUCAUCUGUGAGCCAACAAAUGGGCGUGCUUUUAAGCUCUGCUGAAUUUAUUGUGCAGCCAUAGAAAACAAACACAGUGGUUGUAUUUAUCAGCAUUUUCCUAUAUUUAUCUCACUUUCUGAGUUAAAAAAAAUCAUUCUCUACACCGAGGUCAUGAAGAUACUCUUCUAAAAUUGUUACAGUUUUGCUUUUUCACAUUCAAGUAUUCCAACUUCCUAAAAUUGAUUUCUCCCCUUGCUGUGAAGUAGAGCUCGGACUCCAUUAUUCCCCACUUUCGAUAAAAAUUUGUCCUGAGACUACUUAUUGACUAGUCCAUUAUUUCUUCAUAGAUCUGCAAGUGCAGUCUGGUCAUGAAGGCGAUUUCCGAACAAACGAAGGUCUGUGUCUGGCCUCUUUAUUUUGUGUCAUUGUUAAUUUGUCUAUCUUUGCAACAGAGCCACACUGUGUUAAUUGCUAUAGCUUUCUAGUAAUUCUAGAUGUCUGGUGAAAUAACGUGCCCAUCUUGUUCUUCAAUAGUGUCUUGGCUUUUGGCUCUUGCAAAUAGAUUUGAGACGGUUUAUCAAAUUUCAUAGGAAAACCUGUUAGGAUUUGUAUCGGAAUCAUAAUAUUAUAUCUCUAAAUCAGUUGGAGGAGAGAUUGGCAUCUUUAAGAUACUGAAUAUUACAAUCUAUGCCUAUGGUCUAUGCCUCUUUUACUUGUCUUCCUAUCUUUCCUAAAGACUUACAAUUUUUCCACUCAAACAUCUUUCCCAAAAUUUGUUUCUAGGUACCUUCUAUCUCUUAUUUCAACUAUGAAUGGCAUCUUCUAAAAAUACAUCUUUUCUGUUUGUGACUGGUGAAUGGAAAUGCAAGCCAUUUUUAUAUUCUCAUUUUGUAGCCCACAACCUUGAUAAAUAUUCUUAUUCAUUCAAAUAA